GGCUUUGUAGCUCAGUUGGUAGAGCACUUGAUUGAAGCUCAAGGUGUCGGCAGUUCGAUUCUGUCCAAAGCCA
rfam:Eremococcus coleocola ACS-139-V-Col8 contig00018, whole genome shotgun sequence.